UUUCAAAGAGAAGGGAUGAGAGCAGAACUGUGUGUGUACUGUAUCUCGCUAGCAAAACAUCGCAAUAGAAAUAAGGCUGUUUUCGAGUAGAUGAUUUUCAGGCGUUAGUGUUUUCUCUGCAGAACUAACUUGAUUUAUACGUCCUGGAAAUCUGGAAAACAAGUGAGAAGAAAUUCACUGUUUAAUCUUUACAAGAAGAGAUUCUGUCCCUCCUCUUACUGACCUGUAGGGUGACUCCGUUGGAACGCAAAGAUAAUUCGCCUCCCAACUUCCUCGCCUCAGUCUGCUUUCAACGCUAUUGUGGAUCUUAGUGCAUCGCAUGCCAGGAAUAGGCCUUCCCAUCCCCCACUCGAAGCCUGGGUCACCCUUGCUGCCAGAGGAGCAGAAGUAGUAGUUGACCCACGUGAAGUAGUCCAUCAUAUCAUAAGUGCGGAGACAAUGGUCAUCGAAGGGGGGAAGCUCGUGGUAGCCAAACGUGAAGUCGUUUGGGAAAGACGGAAGACCUGUCGAAAGGUAAUAUUACACAAAUCGAGACUUCAUCGCUUAUGAUACCAUGUCACUCGUCAUAUAUAACGUCAUGUUAGAAAGACGGAAGAUAUUUCGAAAAGUAAUGCUGGUUUUGACGUCAUGUCAUUCGUCAUACAUCACGUCAUUUAAAAAGACGGAAGACCUGUUGAUAUGUGUUGCUUUAACAAAAAUUGAAAUUACCGCAUGUCAUGUAAAUAUAGUUUAUCUUUACCUCCGCAUGAUUGCUUGUUGCAUUCUUGCCUCUCCAUAGUCUCGCCCUCACAGAACUUCCCACCGUUCGCCGGUGCUGGAUUGUUACACUUUCUUUCCCUGACUUGUAGACCACCGCCACAUUGACGAGAACAGUCCGACCACGUAGUCCACUCACUCCACUUUCCGUCUGCAAUCAGAUCAUCACCGGUAAACGAUUCUCUAUAGUAAAGAUCUAAUGUUCGACU